rnacentral:rRNA from 1 species
UACGUAGGGGGCUAGCGUUGUCCGGAUUUAUUGGGCGUAAAGAGCGUGUAGGCGGCCAGGUAGGUCUGGUGUGAAAACUCGAGGCUCAACGGCGAGUCGGCCACCGAUACUGGGUUGCUCGAGCACUGUAGAGGCUAAUGGAAUUCCGGGUGUAGCGGUGGAAUGCGUAGAGAUCCGGAAGAACACCGGUGGCGAAGGCGGUUAGCUGGGGCAGUUGCUGACACUGAGGCGCGACAGCGUGGGGAGCAAACAGG